UGGCUUUCUUUUCAGCCAGUUCCAACUUCUCCUGUGCAUCUUUCAGAGCUUCGGAAUAUUUGUCAAGUUCAUCCUCAGUCCCCUUCAGUUUCUUCUGUAAGGCCACCAGCUCAUCCUCCAGCUGCCCGGUGUUUUUGUUGUUUUUGUUUUGUUGUUGUGUGUGUGGGAGCAGCAGCGAGAUGACAGACAGCACAGGGACACAGAGAGAGAAGCGGCGUGGUCGGUGGAAAGUGGAGCCAUGCGUGCGUUUGUGUGUGUGUGUGUGUGAGAGAGAGACAGAAACAGACACAGAGAGAGAGAGGAGAGAGAGAGAAAAAAAGCAGAAAGAGGUUACAAGAGACGUUCAUUCACCUCGCACCAAUACCUUAGUGGCAUUCUCUUCCGCCAGCAGCUGCCGUUCUUCCGCCUUGUUGAAAUCUUCUACAAACUUAUCCCUCUCAUCCUCCACGGUUCGCAACUUCUUCUCUAGUUGUAAAGCAUCAUCCUCAAACUAUACAGACAAUUCAUCAGAGAGCCAUCAAACAAAGCCGUGGUCCAAAUUAGCCCCAAACUUCCCCACAACAAAUUAAUGCAAAGCUGGAUACAAUCGGACAACAGCAUGCUUUUUCGACAAAUCCAGUUCCAAAACAACGCAACAGCAUACAAAACAUUAAUUGCUGCUCCUGGAAUUCGUGGGAAUCACUUCCAACACCUAAAAUACCUCAAAAUAAAGGAGCAGCUGUUACAGCCAGAAAUUUUUCACAUCCUCCAUCUUGGAUUCUGUAGUUCAAUGAAGAGUGCAGGAGGGCAUUGCCAGGGGCUGCACGAGCCGUAUCUCAAACUGAAGUGUCAGUUUGGUGAAGCUACAGAUCAGGGCUACAUGCAUGCCAAGCUGAGGAAGCAGUAUGUGAUGGAUGGAACUAUGCAAUGCACAACCAAGAGGUCAGAUCUGCGGUCCUGAUCCAGUCUGCCGACUCCACUCAUCCCUGUGAUCAAACCUGUUCCAGUCCUUCCAAUCUCUCUUCUGCUGUGACCACUUUCACUCUGGAGAGCAUCAUUGAAGUGCGUGACAGAGAGAGGCAGAUAUUGAUUGGAGGAACAGGUUCUCGAUGAGUCUUCUCUCCAGGGCAUGGGAUUAACUUGGCUCUGAUUGGGUGCAGAGAAGCUGUCUCUGAGCAUGGGCUCCCUGAAAGCAAGGGUUCUAUUUGAGGAGAGACAUUAUGAAUUAAAUGUACAUUAUAAUGGGGGUGCAGGAGCAGACUUUGCCAGGAUAUAUGCAGCCGAAUCAUUGAAUACAGGAUCAUGUGCCUCACCAGUCGAAGCACAGGGAAUGUAGAAUGUUUAGUAAACACUGCCUCAGCUCGAGCAUUAUGUGUUAGGAUAUUGUUAGCAGCUUUGAGGAGGUAGGGGCAGACGAGAGUUGACCACAAGACUAAUCAAUAAUAUCCUUGAGAGAAGAAAAUCUUCAUGUCCGGCCUAGAUGGGACUCCAGAUCUGCAACAAUAUGGCUGACCCUAUUAACAGUUAUUAACCAUUAGCUCGCUCUCUGCAGGUACAUGUGGUCAGUUAGCUCAGUUGGCUGAAUGGCUAGUUUACAAUUACAGAAUGGUGCCAACGGUGUGGUUUCAAUUCCCACAUCAGCUGAGGUUAUCACAAAGGAUUCUCCUUCUCAACAUCUCCCCUUGCUUGACGCAUGGUGACCCACAGGUUAAGCCACUAUCAGUCAUCUCUCUUUAAUGGGAGGACAGCCCUAUGUUCCUCUCGGGAUAUGGUGACUCUACCUUUAUUAACAGAAGCUUGAUAGAAUAGGACUCUGCUCGUACCUUGAGCCAUCAGGCCUCAGUCCAAUGUGAGUUCAGUAGCUGUAGUUAAAGUAGUGCUACAGUUAACUCUUUACAUGGUGGCCAACUCUGUACAUUACACUUUUGAAAAGACAUUGGAGAGGCUGCAGAGAAAAAGGAAAUGCAAUAAUCAUUUCAAGGAUUCAGUUACAAGGAGAGAUUGGAGAAGUUAGAGUUGCUCUUCUUGGAGAACAGGAGGUUGAGAGAAGAUUUGCUCGAGGUGUUCAAAAUCAUGAGGUACCUGGACAGAGUAGGUAGGGAUUAACUGUUCCUGCUGUUGGGAAUCUCAAGUAGGAAUCACUGAUUUAAAGAAAUUGGCAAAGAAACAAAAGAUAAUGGAGGGAGUGUGGAAAAUCACGCAUCGUCAAAUGCCCGACACGAAUUGCCCUUGGCUCGCUUGGCUAUUUUUGUGGAUCUGGAGUCCGAUGUAGGUAGGACAUUACUGAGCACAAUAGGUUUUUCCAACAAUCAAUAAUAGUUUCACAGCCACUAUGUCAACUGCUGUCAUGGAAUUUGAAAUCAGGACCCCCAGGGCCUACAGAAUAACUCGACCUGUGACAUUAGCACUGUGCCACUUCUAAGUAAAUAGCCUGAGACUGUGGUGGACGGGAAUUCAGCCAUGGGUUAUGUUGUAUCACCAUAGUCUUACCACACCAUAGGGCUGCUCUCCCAUUCGAGAGAUGGAAGCAACUGGUGGCGAUUUAACCUGAGGGCCACCAGACCUCAGGCAAGGGAAGAGGUUGAGGAGGAGAGCCCUUCAUGGUAACCUCAAACCAGUGAUGGGAAUUGAACCCACGCUGUUGGUAUCACACUGCUCUAUAAACCAACAAUCCAGCCAACUGAGCUAAACUGAUUCCCUGAAAGGGAAGUAGAUAAUUAUCUGAAGAUGAAAAAAUUUGCAGGGCUUCAGGGAAACGGAUGAAGCAUGGGAAUAUUGAAGUUACUCUUGCAGACAGCUUGCAGGGCAGUGAAAGGCUGAAUGGUCUCUUUCAGUACUAUUCUAUGAUCCUAUAAUUGUGCACUUUUUCAUUGAUGUCUUCAAAGGGCAAUGAAAUUGAUACUCCCCAAGUGUUAAUUGCUGUUCCCAACAUCAGAACCUCGUUGUAUUGGGAAUCACUGUGUGGUCCAAUUGGACAGCCAGCUCUCUGGAAUCUGCUCCAUUGGAGUAUUAAAUUAAAGCUGGAAAUCUCCUUACAUCUAA